UACGUAGGGGGCAAGCGUUAUCCGGAUUCACUGGGUGUAAAGGGAGCGUAGACGGCGACGCAAGUCUGGAGUGAAAGCCCGGGGCCCAACCCCGGGACUGCUCUGGAAACUGCGGCGCUGGAGUACGGGAGGGGCAGGCGGAAUUCCUGGUGUAGCGGUGAAAUGCGUAGAUAUCAGGAGGAACACCGGCGGCGAAGGCGGCCUGCUGGACCGUGGCUGACGUUGAGGCUCGAGAGCGUGGGGAGCAAACAGG
rnacentral:rRNA from 1 species